AACAGGGCCCCUCGCCCUGACAACAUUCCAGCAGAGUUCUACCAACACUGUUGGGAGAUUGUGAAAGGUGAUAUCAUGAAACUUCCUGCUGCUCUGCACGAAGGAACACUUGAUGUUCAAAGGUUGAAUUAUGGGAUCAUUACCCUUAUCCCUAAGGUCAAUGGUGCGAACAAAAUCCAACAGUUUAGGCCUAUGUGUUUUCUUAGAUGUCCAUAUAAGCUGAUCACAAAAGUAUUAGACAACAGAUCAGCCCCCUAUGCUGACAUUCUGUUUAGCAAACACCAAAAUGCUUUUAUUAAGCACAGAAAUAUUAUGAUGGGGAGCUAA
rnacentral:rRNA from 1 species